GACGAACGCUGGCGGCGUGCUUAACACAUGCAAGUCGAACGGUGAAGCGCCUUCCUUUUUGGUGGGUGUGGAUGAGUGGCGAACGGGUGAGUAACACGUGAGUAACCUGCCCCCUUCUUCUGGAUAACCGCAUGAAAGUGUGGCUAAUACGGGAUAUUCUGGGUCUGUCGCAUGAUGGGUCUGGGAAAGAUAUUGUUUCGGUGGGGGAUGGGCUCGCGGCCUAUCAGCUUGUUGGUGGGGUGAUGGCCUACCAAGGCGGUGACGGGUAGCCGGCCUGAGGGGGUUGACGGGCACACUGGGACUGAGACCCGGGCCAGGCUUCUACGGGGGGCAGCAGUGGGGAAUAUUGCACAAUGGGGGGAAGGCUGAUGCAGCGGCGCCGGGUGGGGGAUGGAGGCCUUCGGGUUGUGAACCUCUUUCGCCAGUGAAGCAGGCCUGCCUCGUUUGUGGGUGGGUUGACGGUAGCUGGAUAAGAAGCGCCGGCUAACUACGUG
rnacentral:rRNA from 1 species